UUACGUAAUGUUGAUAUUGAGUAGUACCAUACAUAACCUCAACAUUAUGAUACUUACAAACAUCGCUAAACAAGUAGUGCGAACGAUGUCGACAUUUCGCUUGGCGUUGGUACAACUUGAAGUAAAUGAAGUAAAACGCAAAAAUGUAGAGCGGGCAGUUUCCUACAUUUCUAGCGCAAAAGAGCGCAAUGCUGAUAUUAUAGCUCUUCCUGAAUGCUUUAAUUCACCAUAUGGAAUACAGUACUUUCGAAAAUACGCCGAGAGUAUUCCUGAUGGUGAAACGAGCGUUGCUUUAUCGAAUGCAGCUAAAGAAAACAACAUCUAUGUAGUUGGUGGUACGAUGCCUGAAAUAGAGGGCGAUAAAUUGUACAAUACCUGUACUAUUUGGGGUCCCGAUGGAACUUUGAUAGCAAAACACCGAAAGGUACAUCUAUUCGACAUCGACAUUCCUAAUAAGAUUACUUUUCGAGAGAGUGAUUCACUCAGUCCUGGUAACUCCCUAACGACGUUCGAUGUGAAGGGCUGCAAAAUAGGUAUUGGCAUAUGCUAUGAUAUUAGAUUCGAGGAAAUGGCACGCAUUUAUCGGAACAAAGGUUGCCAAAUGCUGAUAUAUCCAGCGGCAUUCAAUAUGACCACUGGACCACUGCACUGGUCAUUACUUCAGCGUUCCAGAGCGAAUGAUAAUCAAUUAUACGUUGCUUGCAUAUCACCGGCUCGUGUUCCUUCAGCAAGUUACGUCGCAUGGGGGCAUACACAGUUGACCAAUCCCUGGGGAGAGAUUCUUUACGAUUUGGAAACUCAAGAGAAUAUGGCAGUCACCGAUAUCGCAUCUGAAAAACAAGACAUCUUCGAGACAGCGUGGGUUUUCUUUCCAACUUUCUUAACUUUCAACAAUAAAAUUUUCGUCAAACGAUACAAUCUAUCCAACAAAGUUCUUGUAGACAGCCAAUCUCGUAAGAACAUAGAUCUUCUUCAAGUAUUAUUCUUCACAAUGCUUCGUGUGGAAUUUCUACUUGACGAGUUAUUAUUAAACGAUUAAAAGCUUAUUAUUAUACGAUAAUGUAAUAUCGUAGAAUAGCUUUGAUUGGAGAUCGGCUGAAAUUAGAAAACACCGUGUACGCCGUCUUUUUGUGGUUUGUUUACAUCCAAGAGCGCCUAGUAACAGUGACGCGAGAAAAGAUAAGCAGCGUCAAAACAGAAGUACGGUUUCAUAUUUCAAGGAGUGGCAAUCGAGAGGCCAGAGUAUGUGAGCCGAAAAGUGUGUGUGUGUGUGUGUGUGUGUGUGUGCGUGUGUGUGCGUGCAGGACCGAGCAGGAAUGCAUUGGCGAGGUUCAGAAGUUGAUCGAGACGUCGAAGCAUAGAGUCGUUAGAAUUGAGUUGCGAGUGUUGUCGAGUGUUAGAGUUGCUAGUGAGAGAGAGAGAGAGAGAGAGAGAGAGAGA